GAUGAACGCUGGCGGCGUGCCUAAUACAUGCAAGUCGAGCGAACGGACGAGAAGCUUGCUUCUCUGAUGUUAGCGGCGGACGGGUGAGUAACACGUGGAUAACCUACCUAUAAGACUGGGAUAACUUCGGGAAACCGGAGCUAAUACCGGAUAAUAUUUUGAACCGCAUGGUUCAAAAGUGAAAGACGGUCUUGCUGUCACUUAUAGAUGGAUCCGCGCUGCAUUAGCUAGUUGGUAAGGUAACGGCUUACCAAGGCAACGAUGCUUAGCCGACCUGGGAGGGUGAUCGGCCACACUGGAACUGAGACACGGUCCAGACUCCUACGGGAGGCAGCAGUAGGGAAUCUUCCGCAAUGGGCGAAAGCCUGACGGAGCAACGCCGCGUGAGUGAUGAAGGUCUUCGGAUCGUAAAACUCUGUUAUUAGGGAAGAACAUAUGUGUAAGUAACUGUGCACAUCUUGACGGUACCUAAUCAGAAAGCCACGGCUAACUACGUG
rnacentral:rRNA from 1 species